GGUGAGUCAUCAGGCAGGAGAGAGGAGGCUGGGAACAACGUGACCCACUAAGGAUUCUGCUCCAAGGACAGUGGGUUUCCCGCUGGGCACCCACUCUUAAGUGCAGAUCGGGAGACUAAGACAGGAACACCCGCCGUGGGCAGGCCAGGCUGGAAGGAUAGAGGACUGUGGUCGAACCAAGAGGAGGUUCAACUGUGACUUAUGCCAGUGUGGUCACGAAGGCAGAUGGGUUGAACUGAAAAGGGGGCACCGGUUCCUGGCAUGGAGGCACCCAAGGUCUUAGGAGGUGGAUGGACUGUCACAUGGGCAAAGAAAUGUCCCAGGGCAGGACUGCAAAGGCCACAGAAGAAUAAUUUGGGAGAGAGACAACCCAUGAGAAGUCACUCAGACCAGGGUCAGAAACAGAACAGGAACAACAAUGGAAAGAGGAUGACACCAUUGAUGGGCACCUAGGUCAAUUCAAUGUCUUUGCUAUAGUGAAUAGUGCUGCAAUGAACAUGCAACUCCAUGUGCCUUUCUUUCUCUGCAGCCUUGCAAGAAAGUUAUGAAGAUCCUCGUCACUGAGGCGGACAACGCACACAAUACCCAGAGUCUUCCGG
rnacentral:lncRNA from 1 species